rnacentral:tRNA from 1 species
GCUUCGAUGUCCGAGUGGUUAAGCCGUUGGACUCGAAAGCCAAUAGGUUAUUCCCGCGCAGGUUCGAAUCCUGUUCGCAGCG